rnacentral:lncRNA from 1 species
GGCUGCGUAAGGGAGACCAUGAUGUCAUGGGCUUCUCUUUUCCUGCCCUUCCCACAGUUCCAGGAAGAGAAGCGCCGGAGAGAAAUCGAGGAACGCCGGCGGUUCCCCCUCGAGCAGCGACUCCGAGAACACAUCAUUGGCCAAGAGAGCGCCAUCGCCACCGUCGGAGCUGACGUUUCUUGACCCUACUAGGGAAUAUCAUCAGUGCUGGAAGGGAGCGGAGUUUGCACAGAGGGAGACAACGGUGGGUCCUUUUGUGCUUUCUGAGCCUGCCUGUUUCAUUGCAGACAUUUUCUGACCAAACCAGGGAAUACCAUCAGUG